CAGCAAUAUAUACCUCACAAUCAACAACAUCGACAUCACCAAACUCCUUCCACGCACACAAGCUACUCCUUCUGCACUGCCCAUACAGCUAAAGCAGGAGAAUAUUUCCAUUUUGUGGCUGUGGAACAGACGGAUUCCUCUGCAAUGCUGCAGACUUUUAAAACUGGAAAAGUCAAAGAGGAUCUCUGCUGUUUGGUCCCUGUCAUGCACAAAAAUAAAACAAAAACAAACAAAAACCAUAAAAUUUCACAUGACUGGCAUAAAUGCUGCGGUUGUGGUUGGUAUUGUUGUAGCGCUCUGUCAUGUAUCACGAUUUUUGCAAAUGUUGGUCUUUUUUGCUUUCACUGCCAGUCUGUCCCCUAAAGGGCUUAAAGUCAUUGUAAUUCUCAACCAUCACCUGGACAUUUGAUUGACUAAAGUUACUUCAAGUUACAGAUUCUUACAGAAACUCAACUUAAUUUGUCUUUGAUUUAAAAGUGUACAGACUAACAACCUCAGUUGCAGCAUUUUGUUGUUUCUUUUGUCUUUCAUAGCCUGGACAUAAUGUAAGAUUUGUGUGUGCAUGUGUGAAUUUUGCAAACAGAAAAAUGACAUUUUAUUGAUUGCGAAUGUACACUUUUCAUGAUGGUAAAACGGGAAAAUGAGGGCUUAUAAAAAAGAACAGUAUUAAAGUGUUGCAAUGAUCCAUUCAAACUCCAGAUGGAUGAUCAAUCUCCUUUGGCAGGACCUUAAUAGAACUGUGCAGAACUAAUAGGAGAAAACGUUUGUAUCGUUGGAAACAAUUACUAAGAGUAACAACUGCUGUAUUUAACGCUAUAAGCUUUUAAAUCAUGGCAUGCAUUUAGGUCUACAUGACUGUAGGUCUGAAAUGGUUGAAGGAGGCAAGAAACCGCCAAGGAGAAAAAAAUAAACAAAAUCGGAUUCUUAAGAAAAAAACUGGGCUCUUAUUGGAUAGUAUAGACAGUCAUAUUGUCAACCAAAUAUUUGACAUAAAUUCAUUUCAGUGAAUCGCUUCUAAAGGUUUAUGGUUUGAAUAUUUUUCAGUUUUCUUCAUCUGAAGGGUUGUUGUGUUUUUGAAAGCAUCCCAGCAUUACUGCUUUUGGUAAAACUGGGAAAAUACAUGUUGCAUGCAGCAACAGCAUCACUUGAAUAGGGAUGAAAAAUCCCCGAAAGUAUUCCCAGUCGGCAGGACAUUCUGGAAACAAGAACGACAUUCUCAAGAACACACACACACACACACACUCUUCUGUUUGCCCUGAAUAUGCUUUUGUUUUUGUGGGAAGCUGCUAAACCACGCAUCUUACAGUAGAACCUGACUGGUCUGGGACGCAGAUCACUUUGGGGUCAUCAGACUCUUACCCUCUUCCUCACCCUCUGCUCUUAAACCAGUGUAAAAUCUGCUGGCUUCAAUGUGCCUGUUUAAAUGCAAGUGUAUGGAUGGUGGUUUUCUUUAUUCCUUCUCUUUUAAACCCUGCAGAAACCAAAGUUUCCCCCAAUGUAAAGCCUUCCAUGCAGCUAAAACAUGCUUCAGUGUUUGAGUGUGUAAUGUUUGUUUUAUGUAACUGGGACGCUAUUUGCAAAACAUACUGGGCUGCAUAUGAACCACAAAUCCCUCCGUUCACAUACAGGCUGACGCAGACUCUCUCUCAUUCUACAAACUCCUUCAGUCAAAAACCUUUCAUUUUUUAUUGCGUCGUUUUAUUGCCUCCCUAAAUGCUGUUUUGAUUUCAAGCUUAUUAGAUGUGAAAAUGUCCUACA